rnacentral:rRNA from 1 species
UACGUAGGGACCGAGCGUUGUCCGGAAUCAUUGGGCGUAAAGAGCGUGUAGGCGGCCACUUGAGUCCUGCGUGAAAUCUUGCGGCUCAACCGCAAGCGGUCGUGGGAAACUGGGUGGCUAGAGUGCGGGAGAGGAGAGUGGAAUUCCUGGUGUAGCGGUGGAAUGCGCAGAUAUCAGGAAGAACACCCGUGGCGAAGGCGGCUCUCUGGAACGCAACUGACGCUGAGACGCGAAAGCGUGGGGAGCAAACAGG